GCCGGCGCUUUAACAGAUUGGUGAUUCACAAUAACUCUUUAACGGAUCGAGAGCGCAGCGAUGCGCGUCGACGUUUCGUUCAAAUUUCUGAUUUAUCAUCUUGUUGGAAGGAUAGAGACCUUUCAAGGAUGCGACGAAUACGGAGAAUUAGAGUUUGGUUCCGGAGAAUCCGCCUGAGAAACGGCGAAUACAUCCAAGGAUGGCAGCAGGUGCGCAAAUUGCCCAAUUCGGAUACCGAGAGGCAGUGACAAUAAAUAACAAUGCAGAAUCUGUUAAAGGUUUUGCAAUUGCAAUGAGUACAAACUAAAUCCAUUAACGAGUAGCGAGUGGAGGGAAAGUCUGGUGCCAGCAGCCGCGGUAAUUCCAGCUCCACGAGUGUAUAUUAGAUUUGUUGUAGUUAAAAAGCUCGUAGUCGAAACGAGGAGCAAAUUCUUUUGGUGAGCUGAGCGGUGUCGUUGGCGGCGGUCAGCAAUGAACGACGCUGGCGGCGCAUUUGCUCAUUCACCGUUGCUCUUUUAACGAAGUAUCGAUUCGCGCAAGCGGUUUUUACUUCUUUUUACUUUGAAAAAAUUAGAGUGUUCAAAACAAGGAAUUGCUCGAAGCGGCGCGGGUUCGCUCGCGCCGAACACGGCAAUGCUUUAACCUUUUGAAUAGUUCAGCAUGGGAUAAUAGAACAAGACCUUUUCUGUUUUUGAUUUAAUUGGUUUUGCACAAAACGCAAUAUGUUUAUGAAUGGGUAAUGAUUAAAAGGGACAGUUGGGGCUCUUGAUAUUCAACAGCUAGAGGUGAAAUUCUUGGAUUUGUUGACGAUCAACUUCUGCGAAAGCAUUGAGCAAGGAUGUUUUCACUGAUCAAGAACGAAAGUUUGGGGAUCGAAGAUGAUUAGACACCGUUGUAGUCCAAACUAUAAACAAUGCCAGCCCUGGAUUUGUCAGAGUUGAAAUUUGCAGGCGACCGGGCGCAUUUACGUGCGUACCGGCGCUUGCGUCAGACCUGAUAAGCACAGUAUUGAGAAAUUAGAAGCGUUUGGGUUCUAGGGGGAGUAUGGUCGCAAGACUGAAACUUAAAGGAAUUGACGGAAGGGUACCACAAGAUGUGGAACGUGCGGCUUAAUUUGACACAACACUGGAAAACUUGCCAGGACAAGACAAAGUUAGGAUUGACAGAUUGAGAGCUCUUUCUUGAUUCUUUGGUUGGUGGUGCAUGGCCGCUCUUAGUUGGUGGUUUGAAUUGUCUGGCC
rnacentral:rRNA from 1 species